UCCCCCAAUUAGAGGAAAAAAAGAUUCGUUGUCAAGAUGAUGUCCAGAUCAUAUACCAAUCUUUUGGAUUUGGCAUCUGGGAAUUUUCCUGUAAUGGGAAGAGAGAGGGAGCGGCCGCGGAUGAUGCCACGUGUAAUGACAGUGCCGGGGAAUAUAUGUGAGCUGGAUGAUGACCUGGCUCAUAGUGUUUCUUCUGAUAACUUAUCUUCACUUGCUGGUGAUCGGAUGAUUAUUGUGGCGAAUCUGUUGCCACUGAAAGCAAAAAGGAGACCGGACAAUAAAGGCUGGAGCUUUAGUUGGAAUGAUGGGAGUAUAUGUGAGCUGGAUGAUGACCUGGCUCAUAGUGUUUCUUCUGAUAACUUAUCUUCACUUGCUGGUGAUCGGAUGAUUAUUGUGGCAAAUCUGUUGCCGCUGAAAGCAAAAAGGAGACCGGACAAUAAAGGCUGGAGCUUUAGUUGGAAUGAGGACUCAUUGCUUUUGAGACUUAAGGAUGGUUUACCUGAAGAUAUGGAAGUCUUAUUUGUUGGGUCUUUAUCCAUUGAUGUUGAUCCAAUUGAACAGGAUGAUGUUUCUAGCUAUCUUUUAGAUAAAUUUAGAUGCGUGCCAACGUUUCUUCCCCAAUUCAUGUUGUUAUUUGUUGGGUCUUUAUCCAUUGAUGUUGAUCCAAUUGAACAAGAUGACGUUUCUAGCUAUCUUUUAGAUAAAUUUAGAUGCGUGCCAACGUUUCUUCCGCCUAAUAUUUUGGAGAAAUAUUAUGAGGGCUUCUGCAAGAGGCAUUUGUGGCCGCUUUUUCACUACAUGUUGCCAUUUUCACCUGAUCACG
rnacentral:lncRNA from 1 species